UGGCUCAGAUGAUAAAGCAUCUGCCUGCAAUGCAGGAGACCCAGGUUCAAUCCCUGG
rnacentral:tRNA from 1 species